rnacentral:rRNA from 1 species
UACGGAGGAUGCGAGCGUUAUCCGGAUUUAUUGGGUUUAAAGGGUGCGUAGGCGGUUUUUUAAGUUAGUGGUUAAACGUCGGGGCUUCACCUUGAUUUGCCAUUAAUACUGUAAGACUCGAGUUGGAGAGAAGUAUGCGGAAUGCGCGGUGUAGCGGUGAAAUGCAUAGAUAUCGCGCAGAACUCCGAUUGCGAAGGCAGCAUGCCGGCUCCACACUGACGCUGAGGCACGAAAGCGUGGGUAUCGAACAGG